GUCUCUAUGGCUCAGUCGGUAGAGCGUUGGUCUCAUAUUAGUCAUCCGUAUGACCUGACUUCAAGUUCGGGAUAUCCAAAGGUCGCAAGUUCGAGCCUUGCUAGGGACA
rnacentral:tRNA from 1 species